rnacentral:rRNA from 1 species
AGUGAACGCUGGCGGCAGGCCUAACACAUGCAAGUCGAACGGCAGCACAGAGGAGCUUGCUCCUUGGGUGGCGAGUGGCGGACGGGUGGAGGAAUACAUCGGAAUCUGCCCAGUCGGUGGGGGAUAACAUAGGGAAACUUAUGCUAAUACCGCAUACGACCUACGGGUGAAAGCGGGGGAUCGCAAGACCUCGCGCGAUUGGAUGAGCCGAUGUCCGAUUAGCUAGUUGGCGGGGUAAUGGCCCACCAAGGCGACGAUCGGUAGCUGGUCUGAGAGGAUGAUCAGCCACACUGGAACUGAGACACGGUCCAGACUCCUACGGGAGGCAGCAGUGGGGAAUAUUGGACAAUGGGCGCAAGCCUGAUCCAGCCAUGCCGCGUGGGUGAAGAAGGCC